rnacentral:sRNA from 1 species
GCCAGGCAUGGUGGUGCACACCUGUAAUCCCAGCAGCUUGGGAGGCUGAGGCAGGAGCAUCGUGAGUUCAAAGCCAGCCUCAGCAAUGGCGAGGCACUAAGCAACUCAUUGAGACCCUGUCUCUA